GAGGGUAUAGCUCAAUUGGUAGAGUGUUUGCUUAGCAUGCAUGAGGUCCUGGGUUCAAUUCCCAGUAACUCCA
rnacentral:tRNA from 1 species